CGGAGAGUUUGAUCCUGGCUCAGAUUGAACGCUGGCGGCAGGCCUAACACAUGCAAGUCGAGCGGUAGAGAGAAGCUUGCUUCUCUUGAGAGCGGCGGACGGGUGAGUAAUGCCUAGGAAUCUGCCUGGUAGUGGGGGAUAACGUCCGGAAACGGACGCUAAUACCGCAUACGUCCUACGGGAGAAAGCAGGGGACCUUCGGGCCUUGCGCUAUCAGAUGAGCCUAGGUCGGAUUAGCUAGUUGGUGGGGUAAUGGCUCACCAAGGCGACGAUCCGUAACUGGUCUGAGAGGAUGAUCAGUCACACUGGAACUGAGACACGGUCCAGACUCCUACGGGAGGCAGCAGUGGGGAAUAUUGGACAAUGGGCGAAAGCCUGAUCCAGCCAUGCCGCGUGUGUGAAGAAGGUCUUCGGAUUGUAAAGCACUUUUAAGUUUGGGAGGAAGGGCAGUAAAUUAAUACUUUGCUGUUUUGACGUUACCGACAGAAUAAGCACCGGCUAACUCUGUGCCAGCAGCCGCGGUAAUACAGAGGGUGCAAGCGUUAAUCGGAAUUACUGGGCGUAAGCGCGCGUAGGUGUUCGUUAAGUUGGAUGUGAAAUCCCCGGGCUCCACCUGGGAACUGCAUUCAAAAC
rnacentral:rRNA from 1 species